rnacentral:rRNA from 1 species
AGCGAACGCUGGCGGCAGGCCUAACACAUGCAAGUCGAACGGAUCCUUCGGGAUUAGUGGCGGACGGGUGAGUAACACGUGGGAACGUGCCCUUUGGUUCGGAACAACUCAGGGAAACUUGAGCUAAUACCGGAUGUGCCCUUCGGGGGAAAGAUUUAUCGCCAUUGGAGCGGCCCGCGUCUGAUUAGCUAGUUGGUGAGGGAAAGGCUCACAAAGGCGACGAUCAGUAGCUGGUCUGAGAGGAUGAUCAGCCACAUUGAGACUGAGACACGGCCCAAACUCCUACGGGAGGCAGCAGUGGGGAAUCUUGCGCAAUGGGCGAAAGCCUGACGCAGCCAUGCCGCGUGAAUGAUGAAGGUCUUAGGAUUGUAAAAUUCUUUCACCGGGGACGAUAAUGACGGUACCCGGAGAAGAAGCCCCGGCUAACUUCGUGCCAGCCGCCGCAGUAAAAC